AACAUCUUGGGUAUUUACCCACUUUACAAAAUCAUGAAAUUUCAAUGAUAAAAUCAAUUCUUUGGGCACAAGAAUGAAAAGAUAUUCUUGUUCAAAACCCCACAUACUAAGUUCUCAUGGAAUUCAUGUUAAGUUCUCAAAUCAUCAAAAAUUCAUCGAUCGUAGCACGACUAAGAUUAUCGCGGAAUUGACUCAGCUCUAGACCAGCAGACUAUUUCAGGCAUACGUACCCCCAACAAUCAAUAACAUAAGUAAUACGUAGUAUACAACAACACAUACUCACAUGUCCACAGGCCAUCAUGCACCAUGCAUUCAUUAACA
rnacentral:lncRNA from 1 species